GCCGUCCGGAGGUGGAUGUCGGAAGAGUCCUGAUGAUGGGAAGAGAUGGAUGGGGGGAUUUCCCUUCCCAGAACCUUCUCACCACCCCUCCAGGCCAUGAGGAGUGUUGCCCCUUCAGUGAGAACCCAGAGCAGCUGAUCCCCAUGGAGAGGAAGAAUCAGGAGCUGAGCUUCCAUUGCUUAAGGGAAGAUGAUUAGGAGUUACUGCAGGAGGACUACAAGCUUCUCUCUGUAGCUGUGGAAGUUCUAAAGGACACUUGGCUCCUCCAAUCCAUCAAUGUAGUCUAGGUCCAGCAUCAGCUUAUUGGAGGGUCCCAGCUGAUACAAGAGCACCAUCAGACCGAUCCCUCCAGGAAGUGCUGCUGGGGGAAAUCUCAGCAAUAGAACCACUUCAACGAUAUCAUAACCGG